rnacentral:lncRNA from 1 species
CAGAGACAGGGAGACAGAGAGAAAGAAAGAGAGAGAGACAGAGAGACAGACAGAGAAAGACAGAGACGGACAGAGAUAAACAGAAAGAGAGAGAGACAGAGACAGAGAGAAAGAGACAGAGAGAGAGAGACAGACAGGCGGAGAGAGAGACACACACACAGGCAGAGAAAGGGAGUAAGACAGAAGACAGACACAGUGAGAGAGACAGACAGAGAGAGAGAGAAAUAGGCAGAGAGAGACAGAGAGAGAGAGAAGACGGAGAAAGAGAGACAGAGAGAGGAGGAGGAAGGGCGUGCUCAGGAAAUAAUUACACAUAUUUUAUAACGCUUUUGAUCCCAUAAACGGUGGCCGAGGUGUGCUUUGAAAACAACAACAACAACAGCAACAAGAGCAGCAGCAGCAGCAAGAGCAGCAGCAGCAUUCACUUACGGAUUUCUAGAACAUAAGAUGUUCUGAAGAGUAGUAAACAUCAACCGGCUCUCACUAUACGUUCAGAGAUUCACAAAAUCGUUAGUAAACAACAGGAGAAAACCGCAGCUUACAUGUCUUGGGGAAAAUAUACGUCUUCCUGAAAACUGGGGAUUUCUACUUCAUCUAAAAAGAAAUACAUAAGAAAAAGGAAAAACACGAACGAAACAAAACAAGCCAACAAACACGGGCCAAGGCACUGUCCCUGGAAAUCUUAAGUGAGCAAAGUAUUAGUUUUCAGAAAGCGUUUCUAUUUUGGACAAAUACUAAGAAGGCCCAGACUAGAGCUGUGACGUCAUUCCUAUUGUGAAACUAUGCUGGCCGGAGGGCGGAGAAACUAAAACAUCAUGAUAAAAGGUGAUUGAAACCCAGCCGGGGUGAAGGUUUCCUAGGGAGGGAGGCCUGAGGAAGGAAGCGGGGUAAAAAACCCACAACUGCAGACCCGCCCGCUUGCCGACGCGGGUCAAGGGCUAUGCCAUCGGCCCAAGCUGCCUCUGGGGAAGUGGGACCGUGCCACCCCCAUCUUCAAAAACGGUGGCCACUGAGUAAGGCCUGACGCCCACCGUUGCAAAUGUCAGCCUGGCGGUUGAUGUGACGGAAGAAGUGUCAAGUCCAGGAGUUUGAGACCAGCCUGAGCAACUGAGCAACACAAGUAGGAGAGCCCAGCUGAAAAAAAUGAAAAAAAGAAGGAGGAGGAGGAGGAAAGAAAAGAAAAGAAAAGAAAAGAAGAGAAAAAAGUUAAAAUUAUCCAAUGGUGCAGGCACAAAAAAGAGUGAUUUCACGUCUUUUCCCACAACAUGGAUAGAGCUGGAAGCAAGUAUGUACCGAGUGAACUGCCUUCUGCUUACAAGUGGGAGGUAAAUAAUGGGUACGCGCACGGUCAUCAAGAUGGAAAUAACAGACACUCCAAAAGGGAGGAGGAGGGUAAGAGGGGGAGGAGGAGGGUAAGAGGGGGACGAGGAAUGAAUAAAUCGCCCGUCAGAGACAACGUUCGCCACGUGGGUAAGGCAUACACUGGAGGUCCACUUCUGCAUCCGGAAGCAGUAGUAUGCUGAUCUAACAAACAAGCACAUACACCCCCUGAGUCUGUAAAAUACCAAAACAACGACGACAGCACCAGCAGCAGCAGCAACAGCAGCAGCAGCACCAACAACAACAACAACAGAACAGAAGCUGGAACACAAAACCACCACCACCACCACCACAGUCGCCAGUCGGGGGUUGGGGGAGGGUGGCCGCGCUCGAGACCCUCAGGCACAGUCCCCUCGGGUUUAAAAAAGAAAACUGCAGACUCAUUCCUGUCUGUAGGCAGGAAAAAUCCAAUCAAAGUUCUCCAUUGCUAGAAAGGGAAGUAGAAUAAGGAGAAGGGCUUAUUGAUCUUCUUGUGAUCGAUUGAGACCACACAUGUAGGAAAAAAUUAAAUACAGACAGCAACACUUUCUACACUGUUCAAAAGCAUUGGAGAUCAGGCGCACCACACACCAUGGGCCUUGAGCCACUAGAGAGAAAAGGCAGGCCAGGUGCGGUGGCUCACGCCUGUCAUCCCAGCACUUUGGGAGGCCGAGGCGGGUAGAUCACGAGGUCAGCAGAUCGAGACCAUCCUGGCUAACACGGUGAAACCCCGUCUCUACUAAAAAUACAAAAUAUUAGCCAGGCCUGGUGUGGGCGCCUGUAGUACCAGCUACUCGGGAGUCUGAGGCAGGAGGAUGGUGUGAACCCGGGAGGCGGAGAUUGCAGCGAGCCGAGAUAGCGCCACUGCACUCUGGUCUGGGCGAAAGAGCGAGACUCCGUCUCAAAAAAAAAAAAAAAUAUAUAUAUAUAUAUAGCCAGGCAUAGUGCUGCAUGCCUGUAGUCCCAGCUACUCAGGAGGCUGUGGUAGAACAAUCACUUGACCCAGCAGUUUGAGGUUGCAGUGAGCUAUGAUCAUGCCACUGCACUCUGGCCUGGGUGACAGAGCGAAACCCCAUCUCAAAACAAAGAACAACCAAAAACCUACAAGCAUACUCAGAGAUAGUGUGGGUUUGGUUCCAGACAACCACAAUAAGGAAAAUGUUACAAUCGAGUUAGUUGCAUACACAUUUUGUUUCCCAGUGCUUAUAAAAGUUAUGUUUAAAUUAUGUUGUAGUCUAAUGAGUAUUUAAUAAUUAAUAAUUAAUUAAUUAGUAAUCGCAUUAUGUCUAAAAAACUAUGUACAUACCUUAACUUAAAAUACCUCAUUGCUGAAAAAUACUAAUGAAUAUCUGAGCCUCAUCAAGUCAUAAUCUUUUUGCUGGUGAGUGAAGGGGUGGUCUGCCCCUCCACACUUGUGGGUAUUUCUAGUGAGGUGGGACGAGAGACUGAGAAAACAAGUAAGACAUAGAGACAAAGUAUAGAGAAGCAACGGUAGGCCAAGGGGACCGCCGCUUAGCGUGCCAAGGACCUGCACCAGCACCGGCCUCUGAGUUCCCUUAGUUUUUAUUGGUUAUUGUUUUCAUUAUUUCGGCAAAAAGGAAUGUAGUAGGAGAGCAGAGUGAUAAUAAGGAGAAGGUCAGCAAAAACAUGUGAGCAAAAGAAUCUAUGUCAUAAUUAAGUUCAAGGGAAGGUACUAUGAUUGGACGUGCACGUAAGCCAGAUUUAUGUUUCUCUCCACCCAAACAUCUCAGUGGAGUAAAGAAUAACAAAGCAGCAUUACUGCAAACAUGUCUGGCCUCCCACCAUAGGGCGGUUUUUCUCCUAUCUCAGAAUUGAAGAAAUGUACAAUCGGGUUUUAUACUGAGACAUUCAGUUCCCAGGGGCAGGCAGUAGACAGUGGCCUUCCUCUAUCUCAACUGCAAGAGGCUUUCCUCUUUUACUAAUCCACCUCAGCACAGACUCUGAAUGGGUGUCGGGCUGGGGGACAGUCAGGUCUUUCUCAUCCCAUGAGGCCAUAUUUCAGACUCUCCUAUGGGGAGAAACCUUGGACAAUACCCCGCCUUCAAGGGCAGAGGCCCCUGCGGCUUUCUGCAGUGCAUUAUGCCCCUCAUUUAUUGAGAUUAGAGAAUGGCAAUGACUUUUACCAAGUAUACUGCUUGUAAACAUUUUGUUAACAAGGCACAUCCUGCACAGCCCUAGAUCGCUUAAACCUUGAUUUCAUACAACACAUGUUUUUGUGAGCUCCAGGUUGGGGCCAAGUGGCUGGGGCAAAGCUACAAAUUAACAACAUCUCAGCAAAGCAAUUGUUAAAGUACAAGUCUUUCAAAAUGGAGUCUCUUAUGUUUUUUCCUUUCUAUAUAGACAUAGUAACAGUCAGAUCUCUCUUUCUUUUCUCUACAGUGAGGGUCUUGCCGCUAUGUUGAUGGCUGCUGACUGAUCAGUGUGGGGGCUGCUGAAGGUUGGGUGCCUGUGUCAAUUUCUUAAAACAAUGAAGUUUGUUCCUUUCACAAAACAUUUCCCUGUAGCAUGUGAUGCUGUUUGAUAGCAUUUUAUCCACAGUAGAACUUCCUUCAAAAUUGGAGUAAACCCUCUCAAACCCUGCUGCUGCUUUAUCAACUAGGUUUAUGGAAUAUUCUAAAUCCUUUGUUGUUAUUUCAACAAAGUUCAUAGCAUCUCCACCUGGAGUAGAUUCCAUCUCAAGAAAAUAUUUUCUUUGCUCAUCCAUAAGAAGAAACUCCCCACUUGUUCAAGUUUCAUCAUGAGUUUACAGCAAUUUAAUCUCGUCUUAAGGCCCUAAUUCUAAUUCUGGUUGUCUUGCGAUUUCUACCACAUCUGUAGGGACUUCCUCCACUGACAUCCUGAGCCCUCAAAGUCUUCCAUGAGGGCUGGAAUCAACUUCUUCCAAACUCCUGUUAAUGUUGAUAUUUCAACCUCCUCCCAUCAAUCACAAACGUCCUUAAUGGCAUUUGCUAUUAAGGACAUUUGUGAUUCAUGGGAGGAGGUUGAAAUAUCAUGAAGGGAUUAAUGGUGAAACCUUUCCAAAAGGUAUUCAAUUCAGUUUAUCCAGAUUCAUCAAAGAAAUUACUAUCUAUGACAGCUAUACCUUUAUAAAAUGCAUUUAUUAGUUAAUAUAAACACUUUAAAGUCAAAACCACUCCUUGAUCCACAGGCUGAAGGAUAUAUGUUGUAUUAGCAAUAGCAGUCAUGAAAAUAACAUUAAUUUCCAAGUACAUCUCCAUCUAAGCUUCUGGGUAGCUAGGUGAAUUGUCAAUAAGCAGCAAUCUUUUUUCUUUUUUUCUUUUCUUUCCUUUUUUUUUCCUUUAUGUAGUUUCCCUCUUGUUGCCGAGGCUGGAGGGCAGUGUCAUGGUCUCGGCUCACUGCAACCUCUGCCUCCAGGGUUCAAACCAUUCUUCUGCAUCAGCCUCCCAAGUAGCUGAAAUUACAGGUACCACCACCCUGGCCGGCUAAUUUUUUUGUAUUUUUAUUAGAGACAGGGUUUCAUCAUUUUCACCAGGCUGGUCUCCAA